rnacentral:rRNA from 1 species
UCCGGAAUUAUUGGGCGUAAAGGGCUCGUAGGCGGUUUGUCGCGUCGGGAGUGAAAACACUGGGCUUAACUCAGUGCUUGGUUGCGAUACGGGCAGACUAGAGGUAUUCAGGGGAGAACGGAAUUCCUGGUGUAGCGGUGAAAUGCGCAGAUAUCAGGAGGAACACCGGUGGCGAAGGCGGUUCUCUGGGAAUUACCUGACGCUGAGGAGCGAAAGUGUGGGGAGCGAACAGGAUUAGAUACCCUGGUAGUCCACACCGUAAACGUUGGGCGCUAGGUGUGGGGUCCAUUCCACGGAUUCCGUGCCGCAGCUAACGCAUUAAGCGCCCCGCCUGGGGAGUACGGCCGCAAGGCUAAAACUCAAAGGAAUUGAUGGGGGCCCGCACAAGCGGCGGAGCAUGCGGAUUAAUUCGAUGCAACGCGAAGAACCUUACCUGGGUUUGACAUACGCCGGAAAGCCGUAGAGAUACGGCCCCUUUUAGUCGGUGUACAGGUGGUGCAUGGCUGU